rnacentral:rRNA from 1 species
GGCUUAACACAUGCAAGUCGAGGGGUAUAAGUAGCAAUAUUUAGAGACCGGCGCACGGGUGAGUAACGCGUAUGCAACCUGCCCUUUACUGGGGGAUAGCCCGUAGAAAUGCGGAUUAAUACCCCAUAGUUCUGUUAGAUCGCAUGGUUUGACAGAUAAAGUUUCGGUGGUAAAGGAUGGGCAUGCGUGACAUUAGCUAGUUGGUAGGGUAACGGCCUACCAAGGCUACGAUGUCUAGGGGUUCUGAGAGGAAGAUCCCCCACACUGGUACUGAGACACGGACCAGACUCCUACGGGAGGCAGCAGUGAGGAAUAUUGGUCAAUGGGCGAGAGCCUGAACCAGCCAUCCCGCGUGCAGGAAGAAUGCCCUAUGGGUUGUAAACUGCUUUUUCGCAUGAAGAACACCCCUGACGUGUCGGGGGCUGACGGUAAUGCGUGAAUAAGCACCGGCUAACUCCGUGCCAGCAGCCGCGGUAAUACGGAGGGUGCAAGCGUUAUCCGGAUUUAUUGGGUUUAAAGGGUGCGUAGGCGGCUUUUUAAGUCAGUGGUGAAAUCCUGCAGCUCAACUGUAGAACAGCCAUUGAAACUGAAAAGCUUGAGUAAUCUUGAGGUAGGCGGAAUGUGUAGUGUAGCGGUGAAAUGCUUAGAUAUUACACAGAACACCGAUUGCGAAGGCAGCUUACUAAGGAUUUACUGACGCUGAUGCACGAAAGCGUGGGGAUCAAACAGGAUUAGAUACCCUGGUAGUCCACGCCGUAAACGAUGAUAACUCGCUGUUGGCGAUACACAGUCAGCGGCUUAGCGAAAGCGU